CGUAUAUUUAAGUUGCUGCAGUUAAAAAGCUCGUAGUUGGAUUUCGGGUGGGGCCUGCCGGUCCGCCGUUUCGGUGUGCACUGGCAGGGCCCACCUUGUUGCCGGGGACGGGCUCCUGGGCUUCACUGUCCGGGACUCGGAGUCGGCGCUGUUACUUUGAGUAAAUUAGAGUGUUCAAAGCAGGCCUACGCUCUGAAUACAUUAGCAUGGAAUAACACGAUAGGACUCUGGCCUAUCCUGUUGGUCUGUAGGACCGGAGUAAUGAUUAAGAGGGACAGUCGGGGG
rnacentral:rRNA from 1 species